CCUACGGGAGGCAGCAGUAGGGAAUCUUCCGCAAUGGACGAAAGUCUGACGGAGCAACGCCGCGUGAGUGAUGAAGGCUUUCGGGUCGUAAAACUCUGUUGUUAGGGAAGAACAAGUACAAGAGUAACUGCUUGUACCUUGACGGUACCUAACCAGAAAGCCACGGCUAACUACGUGCCAGCAGCCGCGGUAAUACGUAGGUGGCAAGCGUUAUCCGGAAUUAUUGGGCGUAAAGCGCGCGCAGGCGGUUUCUUAAGUCUGAUGUGAAAGCCACGGCUCAACCGUGGAGGGUCAUUGGAAACUGGGGAACUUGAGUGCAGAAGAGAAAAGCGGAAUCCCACGUGUAGCGGUGAAAUGCGUAGAGAUGUGGAGGAACACCAGUGGCGAAGGCGGCUUUUUGGUCUGUAACUGACGCUGAGGCGCGAAAGCGUGGGGAGCAAACAGGAUUAGAUACCCUGGUAGUCCACGCCGUAAACGAUGAGUGCUAAGUGUUAGAGGGUUUCCGCCCUUUAGUGCUGCAGCUAACGCAUUAAGCACUCCGCCUGGGGAGUACGGUCGCAAGACUGAAACUCAAAUGAAUUGACGGGG
rnacentral:rRNA from 1 species